rnacentral:rRNA from 1 species
CACGUAGGCACCAAGCGUUGUCCGGAUUUAUUGGGCGUAAAGAGCUCGUAGGCGGUUCGUCGCGUCGGCUGUGAAAACCCGGAGCUCAACUCCGGGCCUGCAGUCGAUACGGGCGGACUUGAGUGUUGCAGGGGAGACUGGAAUUCCUGGUGUAGCGGUGGAAUGCGCAGAUAUCAGGAGGAACACCGGUGGCGAAGGCGGGUCUCUGGGCCGAUACUGACGCUGAGGUGCGAAAGCGUGGGGAGCAAACAGG